UCCAUAUAUUACAUCGUUGAUUUUGACAGUGGUUGUACAAUGUAAUGACUUGUAACUCAUUCAAUUUGUACAAGUUGAUCAAAUAAUAUGGAAAACUGAUCAAUAUGUUUGUUGUCAGUGAACACAUGUUUAUGAUGAUAGUGUCAAUAGGAAAAUGUUCUGGUCAGAAUAGCUGAUCUUAUAUUGGUAUGUUCAUAUGUAAUUUCUAGUUAUGUUAUAAUCCAAAAUCCUAAUGGCAGC
rnacentral:lncRNA from 1 species